rnacentral:rRNA from 1 species
GACGAACGCUGGCGGCGUGCCUCAUACAUGCAAGUCGAGCGGAUGCAGCAAUGCAUUAGCGGCGGACGGGUGAGUAACACGUGGGCAACCUGGCCUUAAGAGGGGGAUAACGUUCCGAAAGGGACGCUAAUACCGCGUAAAUCAGCGAAAUCGCAUGAUUUUGUUGGAAAAGGAGCAAUCCGCUUAAGGAUGGGCCCGCGGCCUAUUAGCUAGUUGGUAGGGUAACGGCCUACCAAGGCGACGAUAGGUAGCCGACCUGAGAGGGUGAACGGCCACACUGGAACUGAGAAACGGUCCAGACUCCUACGGGAGGCAGCAGUAGGGAAUAUUCCGCAAUGGGCGAAAGCCUGACGGAGCAACGCCGCGUGAGUGAAGAAGGUCUUCGGAUCGUAAAGCUCUGUCAACAGGGACGAAACAAGACGGUACCUGAGAAGGAAGCCACGGCAAACUACGUG